AGUUGCACAACAUGGACUGCAAUUCAACACUGCCACUUUCUCCAGGGCUGUUGAGGAUGGGAAGCAAAUACUAGUCCAGCCAGUAGCUGUACAAUCCCUGAAAAAAUUAAUAAAAUCUGGUGUGACCCAAUGAAAAUUCCAGUGAUGGGAGAGCCUUGGGAGCCAGCCAGCAUUACUCUGGAGGAUGUUGGCAUCACUGCAAAGCAAGUAUUUCUUGCCAAUCCCUAAUUGCCCUUGAGAAGGUGGUGGUGAGCAAACGGUGAAAUGCGCAACUCAGCCAGAUUCAGCCUGGCUCUCCCUCCCCAUGAUGAGUUAAAACUGAUCAAUCUCGGAGCUGUGUACCAGCAUGAGUGGCCUAUACAGACACAACAUGUAACAUCAGCUGGUCAUCACAGGGCAGGCUGCAGGAGGUGUCAAUGCAUUUGCUGCUGAUGACACCAUGUUUUGUGUGCAAUAAUGUCGACGUCAGCGCAUGCACUGCUCGUAAGGGACCAGGCAAGCUGAGAGGGAAGCAGAGUGGAGUUUGCACCAGGAGCAGUGGGGUAGAGGCCUGCAUCAACAGCGAGAGUGGUGGGAAUUCAGGCAUCACCAGCCUGCCUCUGUCAUCGGGACUGGAAGGGAAUGGAAGCACGCACCGGCAGACAGUGUUUUAGCCUCUACUUUGUUCAGUGGCGAGAAGAACAAUUUGGAAUUAAAUGCAUUAAAUUUCUUUUUAAUUUGUUUAAAA